CGGCGUGCUUAACACAUGCAAGUCGAACGGGAAUUACUUUAUUGAAACUUCGGUCGAUUUAAUUUAAUUCUAGUGGCGGACGGGUGAGUAACGCGUGGGUAACCUGCCUUAUACAGGGGGAUAACAGUCAGAAAUGGCUGCUAAUACCGCAUAAGCCCACGGGUCGGCAUCGACCAGAGGGAAAAGGAGCAAUCCGCUUUGAGAUGGCCUCGCGUCCGAUUAGCUAGUUGGUGAGGUAACGGCCCACCAAGGCAACGAUCGGUAGCCGGACUGAGAGGUUGAACGGCCACAUUGGGACUGAGACACGGCCCAGACUCCUACGGGAGGCAGCAGUGGGGAAUAUUGCACAAUGGGGGAAACCCUGAUGCAGCGACGCCGCGUGGAGGAAGAAGGUCUUCGGAUUGUAAACUCCUGUUGUUGAGGAAGAUAAUGACGGUACUCAACAAGGAAGUGACGGCUAACUACGUGCCAGCAGCCGCGGUAAAACGUAGGUUACAAGCGUUGUCCGGAAUUACUGGGUGUAAAGGGAGCGCAGGCGGGAAGACAAGUUGGAAGUGAAAUCCAUGGGCUCAACCCAUGAACUGCUUUCAAAACUGUUUUUCUUGAGUAGUGCAGAGGUAGGCGGAAUUCCCGGUGUAGCGGUGGAAUGCGUAGAUAUCGGGAGGAACACCAGUGGCGAAGGCGGCCUACUGGGCACCAACUGACGCUGAGGCUCGAAAGUGUGGGUAGCAAACAGGAUUAGAUACCCUGGUAGUCCACACCGUAAAC
rnacentral:rRNA from 1 species